GGCUAUCAAAUAGCACUUGUUUGAGUAGUAAUCACUCCCCCCAACCGACAUAUUGCUAGUCCCUUAGCAAUAGAGGAGAGAAAAUUAAAAAUAAAUAGCAAACUAAUCUACAAUUUACAACAUCAUGCUGAAAGGAAAUAAUUCUCAAGUGGCAUGAUGAUCUAAUUCUCACAUGAAUCAUUGAAGAAAUACAAACCCAAAUCUCAACAAGAGUCAUAACAAACUAUGCUAAACACUGUCAAUCAAGGGAGUGCAUUAUGCAAACUGAAGUUUUAAAAUCAUUUCACUUUCUAAGAACUAAACUUCAAUCUUCCACAAAAAUCUAUGUGUAUUGGUUCUUUAGCUUCCGAGAAUAAAAUGCUACUAAUCUCACCCCCCAACCUAUCUCUUUUCAACACUUUAGCAAACUGACCAAAAUCAAUAAGAAAAGAACACACUUUCAUCUUUUUUUUUUUUUUUUUUUUUUUUUUUUUUUUUUUUUUUUUUUUUUUUUUUUUUUUUUUUUUUUUUUUUUUUUUUUUUUUAAAAGGG
rnacentral:lncRNA from 1 species